CGCCGCGGAGGCCCGUGCGUCAUGACGUCAGGAAACUCUUAUAUGCAGACUCCCGGCGCCAUAUCUGUCUUUCGGGGCGGUGAGGCACGUUAGAGCUGGAGUGUUGCUGAGGACUGCAGGGAUGUGGCUUUCACUGGCAUCUUACAUCCAGUUAUGGGCCAAAGAUGGAUGAGAACCGAAUGGAGGACCAGUGGAACAAACCAGUGUAGCCAUUGCUGGUGCUGCACUAGGAAGCCAGAAGUUGAAAUGGUGGCGUCUGAAUUGACUGGACCAGCUUUUUUACUACUUUGUUGCAUGCUUUCACUUGGAUGGUUUACUUGGGUCCAGAUUGUGGAGCCCUGUUAAAUGGAAUGUACCAAGUCAGCUUGAUUGAAUGGACAUACACCUGCAAGUUUUAUACAAAAGGUAGAUUAUUUUUCUUUAAAGUUCAAGGGACUCCCAUGGCAGCAGGGGACAUGCUCCAUGUGCUUUUUAAAAGGCAGCUGGAUGGAAACUUUGGGAUAGAAGAGUCUACAUGUCUACACAAGAUUGUUUGACUAUCAUAAAAAUUAAAAUAAAUUUCUUCAAACCAUC